rnacentral:rRNA from 3 species
AUGCCUUUAGAUUGGGGACAACAGUUGGAAACGACUGCUAAUACCGAAUGUGCCUUAGGGUGAAAGAUUUAUUGUCUAGAGAUUGGCUCGCGUCAGAUUAGCUAGUUGGAGUGGUAACGGCACACCAAGGCGACGAUCUGUACUUGGUCUGAGAGGAUGACCAGGCACACUGGAACUGAGACACGGUCCAGACUCCUACGGGAGGCAGCAGUGGGGAAUUUUCCGCAAUGGGCGAAAGCCUGACGGAGCAAUACCGCGUGAGGGAGGACGGCUUUUGGGUUGUAAACCUCUUUUAUCAGGGAAGAAUCGAUGACGGUACCUGAUGAAUCAGCAUCGGCUAACUCCGUGCCAGCAGCCGCGGUAAUACGGAGGAUGCAAGCGUUAUCCGGAAUUAUUGGGCGUAAAGCGUCCGUAGGUGGUUUAUCAAGUCUGCUGUCAAAGCGUGCGGCUUAACCGCAUAAGGGCAGUGGAAACUGAUGAACUAGAGUGCGAUAGGGGUAACAGGAAUUCCCAGUGUAGCGGUGAAAUGCGUAGAUAUUGGGAAGAACACCAGCGGCGAAAGCGUGUUACUGGGUCUGCACUGACACUGAGGGACGAAAGCUAGGGGAGCGAAUGGGAUUAGAUACCCCA